rnacentral:piRNA from 1 species
UAAAGUUCAGUGUUCCCGGAUGAGAAGA